AUUGAACGCUGGCGGCAGGCCUAACACAUGCAAGUCGAGCGGAUGAAGGGAGCUUGCUCCUGGAUUCAGCGGCGGACGGGUGAGUAAUGCCUAGGAAUCUGCCUGGUAGUGGGGGAUAACGUCCGGAAACGGGCGCUAAUACCGCAUACGUCCUGAGGGAGAAAGUGGGGGAUCUUCGGACCUCACGCUAUCAGAUGAGCCUAGGUCGGAUUAGCUAGUUGGUGGGGUAAAGGCCUACCAAGGCGACGAUCCGUAACUGGUCUGAGAGGAUGAUCAGUCACACUGGAACUGAGACACGGUCCAGCCUCCUACGGGAGGCAGCAGUGGGGAAUAUUGGACAAUGUGCGAAAGCCUGAUCCAGCCAUGCCGCGUGUGUGAAGAAGGUCUUCGGAUUGUAAAGCACUUUAAGUUGGGAGGAAGGGCAGUAAGUUAAUACCUUGCUGUUUUGACGUCACCAACAGAAUAAGCACCGGCUAACUUCGUG
rnacentral:rRNA from 1 species